rnacentral:rRNA from 1 species
CCUACGGGAGGCAGCAGUGGGGAAUCUUGGACAAUGGGCGAAAGCCUGAUCCAGCCAUGCCGCGUGGAUGAUGAAGGCCCUAGGGUUGUAAAAUCCUUUCGUUGGGGACGAUAAUGACGGUACCCAAAGAAGAAGCUCCGGCUAACUUCGUGCCAGCAGCCGCGGUAAUACGAAGGGGGCUAGCGUUGUUCGGAUUUACUGGGCGUAAAGCGCGUGUAGGCGGGUCGUUAAGUUGGGGGUGAAAUCCCGAGGCUCAACCUCGGAACUGCCUUCAAAACUGGCGACCUGGACUCAAGCAGAGGCAAGUGGAAUUGCGAGUGUAGAGGUGAAAUUCGUAGAUAUUCGCAGGAACACCAGUGGCGAAGGCGACUUGCUGGGCUUGUAGUGACGCUGAGACGCGAAAGCGUGGGGAGCAAACAGGAUUAGAUACCCGAGUAGUC